GCACUGCUGAUGAGACCCAAAUAGGUUGAAGUGGCAGUCCAGUGC
rnacentral:hammerhead_ribozyme from 1 species